rnacentral:lncRNA from 1 species
UUCACUCCCCUUCCCUCUUCCCUCCCCUUCCCCGUUUCCUUAACUUCCCUUGUCCGACCUUACCUUCACUUACGUUUUAUUUUUUAUCUUUUUUUUGCCUAUUGACUGGGUCAGCAGGAAGGACGUAGACACGAAGGAAGGCAUAAGCUUAUUUUAUUGUCAAUUUCAAAACAAUACAAAAACAAAGCAGUGCCCUAAAGUGAAAAGAUAAGCUUAGCAGGAAAGAAAAUAAGCAGUGCAGCGAGUCUAAUCAUUACCACGUCAUAAUAUAAUGAUGUAGCAUAGUGAUAGUGAUUAAGAAAGAUGCAUCACCAGUUGCCCUACUCCUUUAUCGUCAUCCAGAUUCACAGUGGCUGGGGAGUCCCGGUUGCAGGAAGGAUCUGGAGAAGCCGUCCCAGCAGUUGGGAACUCAUACGGCGAUGUGUCCACCCCGGAGGGUUCAAGGAGGAGCAGAAAGAGCUGUGCCAUCUAUUUUGGUGUAGCACGGGCCUCUUUGGCAAGACUGAGCACCCAGAGCCCCGGCAACAUGCUUAGUCAGGUAACAGACAUUGCAGCAAAGUUCCCUUGUGAGCAAGGCUCCCCACCCUGACUGUGAGGUCGGAUGGCAGGGGGAGUGGAAGCUGAGGGAAGCGGCUGUGUGGGAGGGCACGGAGCUGACUUGUUGGGAAGAUGGUUUGCCAGGGCUGUGCGCUCUUCAAACUGGUGAGCCCUCGGUAGAGUUACGAGGAGCCCAGUGCUGUCAGUCCGUACAGAUCCCUGCAUUUUGUGGAACUGAAAAGCCCAAACAGGGGACAGGUGUUCCUAAGCUUCUGGUUUUCUUUCACGUGCUGCGUGGUCGAUAUUCCUGUCUGUAUGGCAGCGCUGUGGAAGGUCAGGAAAAAGAGAGGGAGAGCUGGGCCAGUGUAGUUUUGCUGCUGUACCUGGCAGCCAGAUGAUUCCCUGCGAUCUGGAAAUGGUGCACAGAUCAUAGAGAGCCAACCAGUGCAGUUAGUGGGAGCUAUUUAAUCCCCAAAGGUGCUGCCCUGCUGCUGUGAGUGGGUUCUAUUGCAGAGGCAGCAGAUUUGGCAGUGUGUUGCAGAGCGUGAAUGC